UAACCCCAAGGAUUGCAGUUACAGUUCUGUAGAUAACCCCAGAAAAGCUCGUUUCAACCUCCAUCAAUCAGCUUCAACCUCGGAGAUAACCCUGAGGCACUUAGUCCCAAACUCAGAGAUAACCCCGGGAGGUCAACCACACCUCAGAGACAACCCUGAGGACAUCCAAUACUUGCAGCAGCCUAAUCUCAGAGAUAACCCUGAGCAACGACUGCUUUAUCAGCCCAAACUGAAGAUAACCUCGGUGAGGGGAAAAAUCGUCAUUUCGCCACCUCGAUCCCACAUGCGCUCCAUCUCAACACAUUUCAACAUAUAUUCUACAUAGCAGUGUCGUACAAGAACCAAAUAGUUGUAAUCCCGAGUGACUACUACACAAGACAGCACAUCGGAUGGAAUUUGAAGCUUGAAGACCAAAGGCAUGGUCCCAUCUUCCUGACUUCGUACAACCUCUAAUUCCAUGUCAUUGUGUAGCUCUCGACAACAGCAUGCUAAAAAAGGUCUUAUACACCUUGAUCGGAUGCCCGGAUUGAAGUUCUGAAAGUUCGAGCAGACAUCACGUUACACGCAUAUACGUACUUCGAGACGACGGG
rnacentral:lncRNA from 1 species